AUAAAGUAGGUUGGAUGUUAGUUAUUUCAACUCAGCUGAAGGAAGUGAAUCAUUUUCCAAAAAUGAAAUCGAUUACCAUAGCUCUUUUAUUAAUAACCAUUAUUGGUUUUUCCUUGGCUUCAGACACUCCCGACUGCCAUGACCGUCGAAAUGAGCUGCACCCACAAUGCUCAUCCCGAAUCAGCGACUUGUACUUGUUACAAAAAAACUAAAUAAUAUUGUAAAGAAAACAUUAAUUAGGAUUGUAUUUUUUCUAAAUUUUGUAUUCAUGGUUAAUCGUUAAAAAAUGCAUGCCCCCAAUCCGGAAUUGAUUUUGUCAUUUAGUUGGAAGCAAAAUGAGGUCCAGAAUAAAUGACUCAACCGAAUCAAUUAGCAACCGUUAUACAAAAAAUUAUAUAAAAACCUACUCCCUAAAUGUGUUGGAUGUUAGUAAUUUCAACUCAGCUGAAGGAAGUGAAUCAUUUCCUAAAAAUGAAUUCGAUUACUAUAGCUUUUUUAUUAAUAACCAUUAUUGUUUUUACCAUGGGCUUAAAACAUCCCAUCUGCGGUCGUCGUCCGGCUGAUGGCUUCCUCAUAUGCAAUAAGGGAGGCCGUGGAGGAUUUGUAUAUAAGCUCAAAACGAAUACAUGUGAAUCCCAUCCUAUCUGUUCUGGGGAAAUCAGCAAUUAUUUCACGGAUAUCGCUGCUUGCGAAGCAAAGUGCAAGGAAUAAGAAAAUAAUAAAUAUAUUGACAUAUCCACAGUACCACAAGGGCCUAUGUAUACCAUACUAUAAACACAUACACAAAUAGCGUGUAUCCAGAUUCAAUAGAAGCCGAAAAGUCUCUCAGAACAUUUCUAAAGUUCACCCGAUAUCCAGAAAGCUCGAGACCAAGACUUGAAAAACCUUAUACUAAUAGGUCGCUGUGCCUCACUUUAAUAAUUGCUUUUUAUUAUAAUAAAUCUUACUUGUUUUUGCACACGACUUAAA